rnacentral:rRNA from 1 species
UACGUAGGGUGCGAGCGUUGUCCGGAUUUAUUGGGCGUAAAGAGCUCGUAGGCGGUUUGUCGCGUCGGCCGUGAAAUCUCCACGCUUAACGUGGAGCGUGCGGUCGAUACGGGCAGACUUGAGUUCGGUAGGGGAGACUGGAAUUCCUGGUGUAGCGGUGAAAUGCGUAGAGAUCAGGAAGAACACCGGUGGCGAAGGCGGGUCUCUGGGCCGAUACUGACGCUGAGGAGCGAAAGCGUGGGGAGCGAACAGG